rnacentral:misc_RNA from 1 species
GAUGAAGAACGCAGCGAAAUGCGAUAAGUAAUGCGAAUUGCAGAAUUCAGUGAGUCAUCGAAUCUUUGAACGCACAUUGCGCCCCCUGGUAUUCCGGGGGGCAUGCCUGUCCGAGCGUCAUUACAACCCUCAAGCUCAGCUUGGUGUUGGGCCCCGCCGCCCCGGCGGGCCCUAAAGUCAGUGGCGGUGCCGUCCGGCUCCGAGCGUAGUAAUUCUUCUCGCUCUGGAGGUCCGUCGUGUGCUCGCCAGCAACCCCCAAUUUUUUUCAGGUUGACCUCGGAUCAGGUAGGGAUACCCGCUGAACUUAAGCAUAUCAAUAAGCGGAGGA